CUUUGAGUCAAAGCACUCGACCGUCUCUCAGUUUGAAGAAGACUGAAGAUGAAUCCAGAUUACAGCAGCAGAGAAACGAAGGUCUUGCAGACCUUUAAAAACCUUUCAAAAGAAGAUUUUUUUCUGCUUGAAAUGACCAAAUGCAACAGCGUGGGCAGUGAACACGAGCGUCUGACCUUCAAACUCAAAUAUCUGACACGUGAAACUCUCUGACAGCCUCAAAAUCAAAAUUAAUGAGACUUUCAAAUGAUUUCUGAAGCCUCUGACCUCUAACUGCUAGUUUGUUGUCUUAUGUAAAGAAUGUUUUAUUUCUGUUGGUUGUUUGGAGUUAAACAAACCAAAAAAAGACAGAAAGAUGUUCAGUCAGUUCAAAUAAAAACAAAAAAAACUGUCAAUCUGUAAAUAAAAGUGAAUUUCAUUGAUUGUUUAUUGAUCCCUGAGCUCCAGUCAAUAAUAUCUUGUGUCACUUUUCUUUCAUUUAUAUGUGCAAAUAAAGCAAACUGUGAUGAAA